CCCGCAACGAGCGCAACCCUUGCCAUUAGUUGCUACCAUUCAGUUGAGCACUCUAAUGGGACUGCCGGUGACAAACCGGAUGAAGGUGGGGCUGACGUCAAGUCCUCAUGGCCCUUAUGACCAGGGCUUCACACGUCAUACAAUGGUCUGUACAGAGGGUAGCCCAGCCGCGAGGUGGAGCCAAUCUCAUAAAACCUAUCGUAGUCCGGAUCGCAUUCUUCAACUCGAGUGCGUGAAGU
rnacentral:rRNA from 1 species